GAUGAACGCUGGCGGCGUGCCUAAUACAUGCAAGUCGAGCGAACAGACGAGGAGCUUGCUCCUCUGACGUUAGCGGCGGACGGGUGAGUAACACGUGGAUAACCUACCUAUAAGACUGGGAUAACUUCGGGAACCCGGAGCUAAUACCGGAUAAUAUAUUGAACCGCAUGGUUCAAUAGUGAAAGACGGUUUUGCUGUCACUUAUAGAUGGAUCCGCGCCGCAUUAGCUAGUUGGUAAGGUAACGGCUUACCAAGGCAACGAUGCGUAGCCGACCUGAGAGGGUGAUCGGCCACACUGGAACUGAGACACGGUCCAGACUCCUACGGGAGGCAGCAGUAGGGAAUCUUCCGCAACGGGCGAAAGCCUGACGGAGCAACGCCGCGUGAGUGAUGAAGGUCUUCGGAUCGUAAAACUCUGUUAUUAGGGAAGAACAAAUGUGUAAGUAACUAUGCACGUCUUGACGGUACCUAAUCAGAAAGCCACGGCUAACUACGUG
rnacentral:rRNA from 1 species